UUAAAUUUAUAGUAAGCCCCCAUAGUUAAAACGGAUCUAGGGUUCUAACUUUAGAGGUGCAAAAACAUAUGUAACUUGCACUUGUAGUUAAGAAAUUUCACGAGUAAAUUUAAAUUAUUCUAAUAGUUUCUCCUAAUAAAAAGAUAAAUAAUACAAGAGUUUAUAUUCGCAAAUGAAGCAUACUCUCAUAAGAAAAUAUUACUAUAAUAAUUGUUAACACUUUCAUAUUAUAGAAAUCUACCAAUGAGAGUGUAAAUAACUAUAAUUUCGAAGUGCGAACCUUUUAUAAUUUUAAGAUUAUGUUAAUAUAAUACGAGCUUUUUAAAAUUUUUAAAAAUGCGACCGCACCCACCCCUCCUUAUGUCCAUCUCUGCCAUAGCGCACGAGGCAAACUCCAAUCCAAAAUCACGAGGAACUUGCACGCAUAAGGGAUACAAUGUUUUGAUCUAGAAAAAAAAUUUGUUCACCCACCUGACAAACUAACAUCCUAAAUAGUGAUUGGUCAUAACAAUAAGUUCAUUGUUUUUGCCAAUCAUCUUUAAGGGUGAUGUUCACUCACCAGUUAGUAAAUAAAUAAAAUCAAUCUUUUUGACCAAACUAGCUGAGGUGGCAUGAGGCGUCAACAAGGUCACAGUUGCCAACUAGCAAAAAAAUUCUUAGUUGAUAAGAUAGAAUAUCGUAAUAGGCACAUGUACUUGUAUUAUACUUUUGAGGGAGCUAUUAUUCCCACCCCACUUUAAGUCAAUUCACCAACCCAUCACAGACUCUUUGGCCAAAAUUAUUCUUUUGCCCAUGCCCUUUCUCCUUUUUUCUCCCAUGUCCUCACUCUUUUCUCCACCAACUGUCCCUUUUUCGCUGUCCACCCCAGCCGGGCCCUAACCCAAGCCACACACUUGUCAGCCCACCCUCCCUUUUCAGCGGUGUCUUCCCCGCCCCCAACCCUCCACUUGUAAAACCCCUCUUUUGUCAAAAAAAAUUUUUUUUUAAUUUUUUGAUUUUGUUCCCUACAUAUAUAUGAAUAACACUCUUUAUAUUUUUCUCAUCUAUUCAGGCCUACCAUAUCUGGGUAUAAAAGAAAAAAAAUAGAAUCAAAGUGUAUUAAAAAAAAAAAAGAAUCAAUGGGUAUAAAAAAAAAUAAAAAAAGAAUAAAAGAGUUGAAUGACUAUAAAAAAGAAUAUGUAAGAUUUUAUAAAAUUUUUACUCCCACCUAUACCCAUGACAAACCCACUAAACCCUCUCUCUCUUGUUUUUUUUUUUCAGUUUUGUAUUUUUUUCAUUAGUUUAUUCUUUUUUUCAGUUUUUUGUAAUUUUUUUAUUUUUUUUCAUUAGUUUUGUGUCUUUUUAAGUUUGUAAAUUUUUUUGUAGGUUUGUUUAUUUUUUUUAAUCAUUUUUAAAAAAAAUCAAAUUUCAUUUUUAAAAUGUUGAUAACUAAAUUGAUGGUGGGGAGUAAAGAAAUAUUUUUUUAUCCAUAUUUGUUUCUUUUAUAAAAAAAAUAAGGUGGGAGUAAAAAAAGAAAUUUUAAAUUUUUAAGUUUUUUUAAAUAAAAAUUAUAAAUUAUGAUUAAAUUUUGUAAAUUUUUUUACUCCCACUUUAUGUUUUUUAUAUAAAAAAAAAUAUGGAUAUAAAAAUAAUUUUGAGGGAUAAAAAAAUAUAAGUUUUAUCAUAACUGUUUUUAGAUAAAAAAAAAAAUAUUUAUCCAAAAAGAAAAUAAAGAUGAUAAAGAAAAUAAAGAAAUUUAAAUGUAAUAAAAAAAUAACAAAAAAAAAAUAAAAAUGAAAAAAAGGGGCGGGGGCGGCUGACUGAGAGAGAGAGAGAGAGAGAGGGAGAAGAGAUGCAAGAGAGAGAGGAAGAGAGAGGGCAAAUUAGGUCAAAACCUGCCCAAAACAUGUUUCAUCCCACACCCCACCUGACCAUCGGAGGUGUGAGUAAUAGUUUGCUACUUUUGAAUACAUAUCAUGUACUCUUAAAUGCGUAUUUAUUUUUUCUUUAAUUUUGGUCGUACUUUAGAAGUUCUGUAUAUCCUAACUAUACUCUAGUCAUAAUAAUUCUUAUUUUUAUAUGAAAAUUAAGUUAACUUGACGGGAUUUUUAUAUAAAAAUUAUGUAAUUGUAUCUUACUUUUUUAAUUUUUUAUUGUAGAAUAACUAGAUCGUCGUAGUCUCGUAGAUAACGACACCUCUCAAUGUCAAAUAAAAAAGUUAACCAAUUACAACAAAUACCUCUCACAAGAUCACAUAAGGGAUAAGCCAAACAUAGCUACUGAUGGGGGAAAAUUUUCCACCGACUAAGUCAAGUCGUCGCACUAGCGCUAAACAGAAUGGUCGCCCAUUGAUUCCCCGAGGUUGCUUAUCUCCGAACCCUCUUGACCGAGUGUAAAACGAGUCCAACGGUGUGGAACCGCGCCAAAGCUAUCUCCACUGAGGCUCGACCAGAGCCCAAAGUGUUGUCUCCCUCCUCGCCCUUGGAGAGGUUAAGAUAGAAUACUGACUUGAUCAAUCUCCACCAGAUUCCUAUCUAUACGCCCAUGCGGAUUUCUCCUCCAUAGCCCGGACAUACGGGAUACUCUCCAGAUGGACAAUUCCCAAUUAUGUCUCUACAUCUCCGAGAUAUCUUUCCAUACUCUAUCCUUCCCCCGAGGAUCUCGCCGUGAUCCAUGGGCAAGGGACCAUUAACUCCGUCUAUAAAAAGGCCGCUCCCACAUUAAACAAAGGUACGCAAACAGACCUUACAAUUCUCCCCUUGAGCUCCUUACCUGCUGUCAUCGCCUUGGUCUGAUCUCAUGCCGGAGGAGUUUAGCGGCCCUCGCCCCGGACCAUUACCUUUUCUAUUCGCUUGUGCCAGGUCGCCCUCCGAGUAUCCGAGGCCCAGUACCGAGGAGACAGAAGCAAUAUUGACUGUUGGUUGCUCGGCCCAGAUGUUUACCACAACAGUUUGGCGCCGUCUGUGAAAGACAGUUUCUCUAACUUCUAUGCACUGCGCAGCCGACAACCUACCCGACAAAGCGCCAGUAGCCUUCUUGGUAACCGGGUCCAUCCUUGGCCAACCCAAGCCAAGUUCCAGUUCUAGAAGCCCUCAACGUGAGAUAAUAUAUGGCCGAGCAAAUGAGGAUUCAUGAACCGAGAAUAAUGGUCGCCUAAUGAAACUCCCCCUUUCCCCCCAUCACCGCUGCAACCCCCAACUUCCUGCAGCGCCAUCCGUCCCUAAUGUCGAGCGAUCCUCGCCACUCUAAUUGCUCGGGAGAUCGUUCUCACAACGCCAGUACUGAACGAGCGAGGGUAGGCGCCGAGCCCAAGCCCGUCCUUACGGGAAGGAGUUGCCUCUUUAGAAUCUAGUCAAACUCGAGACCAGGGUGAGAAGAGAGAGGAGCCCCAACAUGGCGAUUAUACCGAGCACGAGACAAAUCCACCUCGCAGAAGAUUCGGAGAGUUGGACGCACGGCUAGACGCCAUUAACAAUGGAACAAAUCUCAGUAAACCGUGGACACUCUGGUUAGACAGACAGAUCCACAUUCACGGAAAGGGUAUUAGAGCUCGGAAUCUCUUCGAAGUUCAAGCUCCCUCCCCAGCUCGGCAUUAUGAAGAAAGACCGAUCCGAGGGUCACCUGGACUCAUACAAAGCUUAAAUGUCUCUCCAGAGUUGCUCGAUGAGUUAUGUCAAAGAGUUCUCCGCCACUUUGAAAGGAUCGGCCAGGUCGUGGUUUCAAAAACUAUCGCCAGGAACCAUAGACUUUGUGGCGAGCUUAGCCAACUCUUUGUCGCCAAUUUUAUGAGCUGCCAAAAACCGACAGAAGAAUAAAAAGAAAACAAAUGCCUUAGCUAAUUCUGGCAUCAACUUUGAGUUUUAUUUCCUAAACAAUAGGUGCAUACCUCUGAAAUUCCUAGCUAACCCAAGCAUUGGGGUCGCCAAUCAAUCCUCCAAACGGAUGAAAAAUUCGACGUGGAUGGACGAAAGUAUGCCUAUCUUCAAAGAGGGAUCCUGCCAAAAGAUAAUUCCAAGGCUAGCCGUCUCCACUACCAGCUUUUCACCAAGGUUUUGCAUUUUUUAAAAGGCGAGCUAACAAAAGGUUCGUUUUAGGACCAUUAUUGAAAUGUUCCGACAGAAGGGACAGAGUACGUUCUAUGAGAAAUUACACGAAGGCAUAUGCGGGAAUCACUCUAGAGAAGGUCAUGGCGAAGAAAAACUAUUCGCCAAGGAUAUUUUGGGCCGGGACCAUAGAACGAGAUUGCGGCCGCAUAUAUAAAGAGAUGCGACAAAGUGUCAGAGGUUUGCCCCCGUCAGCCGUCUCCCUCACACUGAGAUGGUACGAUGUCAAGCCCUUGGCCAUUCGGCCCAGUGGGAAUAGGAAUACUGGGUACCCUACCACAAGCCUUUUGCAAAGGGAAAUUUCUGAUCGUCGCCAUAGACUAUUUUACAAAGGAUAGAAGAGCUCAGCCUCCGCCAAGGAUUAAUGAGAAAAUAUCUCGAGAUUUCGUAUGGAAGCACCUUGUUUGUAGUUCGGAAUUCCCAAAGGUUUCAUCCAGACAAAGCAAGCAGUUCGACAACGACAGGUUUAGGUUAUUCUCCUCGGAGCCGCCAUCUCCCAUCAUUUCUCCUCGCCCGGUCAUCCUCAGGCUAAUGGGGACAAGUUGAAGUAACCAAGUGUACCAUCCUAGGAAUUGAAGGCGAGGUUAGAAAGGUUCGAAAAGCGAUGGGGAAGACUUGCCAAAGCAUACUUGGCUUAUCAUACUACUAGCCGGAUCCUAUGAGCUCCCGCCUUGUUUCCCACUCCCUUGUCUCUCACCUUUCCUUUUCUACUUUUCCUUUUUGGCCUGCGUUUUUCCUCGCUCCCCCUGUCUUCUUCUUCCUCUUUUCCUUCUUUUUUCCAUCUUCUUGUUACCCCUUUUUUUGCCCACCUUCCCUCUUUUCCGUUCUUCUGUUCUUUUUUCCAUCCUCGUUUCCUUUAUCUUUGUUUCCUCUUUCUUUCAUAUCAUUGUCUUUUCUUCUCUCCACUUUUUCCUGCGUGGUCUCAUAUCUCUUCCUCCUCAACCUUCCUCCUCUCCUCUCUGUUUCCCCUCCCUUUUUUUACGUCUCUUUACUUUAACCUUUUUCCUCCUUCCCUUUUUUUUUCCCCGCCAUUGAAACUCCCUAACUCCAGGUCUUCGGUACUGAAAUCGGUCAUACCAGUGGAAAUCGGAAUGCCCAAACUUCAGGACUUCGAAUUUCGACAGAGAGAGCAAUGAGCCCGAGUCGGACUCAACUUGGACCUCUCGAGGGAAAAAAGAGAGAAGGGCCGAGCUACGUCAAUGGUUACAAGUGCAAGUCACCAAGUACGAUAAUCAAAGGGUCAAACACCGAUCAUUCCUUCAGGGCGACCUGGUCCUGAGGAGUACCCUGUCAACUAAAGAACAAAAUGCGGGGAACUCGACCCAAUAUGGGAAGGUCCUUACAAAGUCGUUAGCGAUUUCCCGAUCAGCGGACUUACCUGGUUAGAAGACCCAAACGGAAAAAGCGCUUUACACCUGGGAAUGCCGAGCAUUUGAAAAAUAUAUCAAAUAAACAAGUCACUUUUUGAUUAAAAAUUGUGCGGUUCGCUUAUGAUUUAUACAACGUUUAUACAAAAGAUUGAUAUCGCCAUUAUUGAUAUCGCCAGCAUUAUGAUCGCCAUACGUUACAGAGAUAAACUUCUUGAUCACCUAAUCGAUGUCGCCAAUAUUGCGAUCGCAGUUCAAAACAAAAUGAAAUCGCCCAGUUCGAGAAGAAAAUAAGAUCGCCCAUUAUUGAAGUCCCAAUAUUAUUUCAGUUAGAAAUUUCGACCAUUACUUAUGAUCGCCAGUAACACUCAACAAAAAACGGGGAAUAAAGAUAUUUCAGUCAAAUAAAACAAGAAAUUACAUCUCAAUUACACAUAAAAAAAAAAUUUACACCUCGGGGCAUUAUUUUUGAUUUACCCCCCUCAUCUCGCCCGUCUUUCUCAAUUUUCUCAUCGCAUCGUCUUGGCUCCGCAGCAGAUGUGAUCGACCACAGUGCCUUCAAGGUCGAUGGCGAGUUCGGGGUGAUGUCAGGAAGUUGAACCUUGGAGAAGUUAAACCCCUUCCCAAAGUAUUUGGAGGUAGAAUCUUCACGACCACAUGAACUCCGACGAGGAUUUGAACUCCUCCACGGCAGAUUCCUGGAUUUAUUCAGAGCUUCCCCUCAGCUCGUUCACCAACACUCCCGACCCUCGAAUUGCGGUAGUGAUCUCGAUCACUCUUCGCCUUGCGAGCUCAUCAUUGGCCUACUGCUCCGAGCAUGGGACUUGUCCAGUUGCUGGUCCAAACGAUAGCACCUUCUAGAGCGAGCAAUUCGGUUUCCAUGAAGCGACUGCCUCUUGAGAGAUGCCAGCUCCCCGGCCUCCCUGCUCCGGCAGCCAAAGACGAGCCGAGCCCAACGCUGCUACAAGAAAGGAAACAUUUUUUAGCAAUUCCACAGUUAGUUAAAUCGAUAGAACAAUUGAAACGCCCCCGAAGAGUACCUGACCGAUCACAUGGAAGAGCUUCGUCGCCGUCUAGUCCAAGGUGAGCUUCUCCAACUUCUACGUGUCGGCGGAGGAAUCAACCCCCGCAGCAAACUUCUCGGCCACGAUGGGCUGCCCAACAUGGAAGCCAUAGGGGCCCAAGACAGUGCGAGAUUGCGCAGAGGAACCUUCUCCAGGAUGAGGAGAAGUGGUGGCUGGAGGGGCGGGGCUUUGCCCGAUGAGGCGCCUUCUUCUUGCCCUCGGGGCCGACGGGGACAACUCCUUUACCCUUUUGAGCAAUGUCGGCCUUCCCCUUUUUAUUAGGCGAGCUGGUGUGCUCUCCACGGGCCGAUUAUCGGCAAUGACAACUCCCUUUGCCUUUUGGGAACGAGUUCCCGAGCUCGCACCCUCCGCCUUCCCCAGCUCUCGCUAAUCUUCUUAAAGCUAACUCUCUUCGACAUGGCUGCACAAUAGCCUACGAAUCAGAUAAGGAAAGUCAUCAUCGCCUAGAAAAAGAAAAGGGUCAAUACCAUCCGAUUCAAGCUCGACGGGUAGGCUCGAAUCCGAACAGAUUUCGAUGGAGGAAUAAAAAAGCCGGAGCAUUCGAGGAAAGAUCUAGUAUAGGAUCCAGAACCUUUCCCCUGACCACCUUAAAAGGGUCAGAUCGGGGAUGUGAGGUAACAACCUCCUGAAGUUGUUCUGAUGGAUCCUAGACCUCAAGGAAUCAUCUCUGGAAGGACUUCUCGCCGAGCUGAUCAUGGGGAUUUUUGGAUCACCCACGUCGCUUGAGAGCUCGGAAGCUUCUCCGCUGGGAAGAUGUCGCCCGCCGCCUCGAUGCCCUAGAACCGGGGGAGCCCAAAUACCGGCCAAACGACUUGGUCCAGAUGCACUGGUAAUGAGAAGCGUACCGACUUCUUGAGUUGACUGAAAAACCUCAUCGAAAAAACCUUCGUUUCGUCGCCGAAAAAGUCGAGGCGGGUUUAUUGUCAGUGCUUAUCUGCAAAAGGAAAACAGCCCCAGUAGCCCACCCGCCAUUCAAGAAUACAAAAACAGGGUGGAAGGAGAGCGACAGACCUGAAUUCCCCACGUCCUGGGACUCUUGGGGCGCCCACAGUAGAGGGGAAAGGGGGGCGGGGGGGGGGGGGGGGUGGGGGGGGGGGAGGCGGGGGGGGGGGGAAAAGGCGGGGGGAGGGGGGAGGAGGGGGAAAGGAGGGGGGGGGGAGGGGGGGGGGGGGUGGGGGGGGGGGGAGGGGGGGGGGGGGGAGGUGGGGAGGGGCAGGGGGGAGGGGGGGGGGGGGGGGAGGGGGGGGGGGGGGGGCGGGGGGGGGGGGGGGGGGGGGGGGGGGGGUGGGACAGGGGAGGGGGGAAGGGGGGGGGGGGGGGGAGGGUGGAGGGGCGGGGGGCGGGGAGGGGGGGGUGGGGGGGGAGGGGGGGGGGGGGGGGGGGGGGGGGGGGGGGGGGGGAGGGGGGGGCUCGGGGUGGGAAGGGGGGGGGGGGCCGGGGGGGGGGAAGGGGGGGGGGGGGGGGAAGGGGGGGGGGGGGGAGGAGGGGGGAUGGGGGGGGGGGGGGGGGGGGAGGGGGGGGGGGGGGGAGGGGGGGGGUGGGAGGGGGGGGGAAAGGGGGGGGGAAAAAAAGGGGGGAAAAAAGGGGGGGGCGGGGGGGUGGGGGGGGGGGGGGGGGGGGGGGGGGAGGGGGGGGGGGGGGGGGGGGGGGGGGGGGGGGGGGGCGGAGGGGGCGGGGGGGAGGGGGGGGGGGGGGGGGGGAGGGGGGGGGAGAGGGAAAAAAGGGGGGAGGGGGGGGGGGGGGGGGGGGGCGGGGGGGGGGGGGGGGGGGGGGGGGGGGGGGGGGGGGGGGGGGGGGGGGGGGGGGGGUGGGGGAGGGGUGGGGGGGGGGUGCGGAGGGGGGGGGGGGGGAGGGGGGGGGCCAGGGGGGGGGGGGGGGGGGAGGGGGGGGGGGGAGGGGGAAAGGGGGGGGGGGGGGGGGGGGGGAAAAGGGGGGGGGGGGGGGGGGGGGGGGAGGAGGGGAGGGGGGGGGGGGGGGGGGAGGGGGGGGGGGGGAAAUGGGGGGGGGGGGGGAAACGGGGGGAAAAGGGGGGGGGGGAGGGGGAGGGGCAGGGGGGGGGGGGUCAGGAAGGGGGGGGGGGGGGGGGGGUAGGGGGAAAAAAAAAGGGGGGGGGGGGGGGGGGAAGUGGGGGGGGGGGGGGGUGGGUGGUGGGUGGGUUUUGUAGAAGGGGGUGUGUGUUUGGGGGUUUGGGGUUUUUUGGUGGGAGGUGGGUGGGGGGUUGUUUUGUUGGGUGGGGGUGGCAAUGUGGGUUGUGGGGUGUUUGUGGUUUUUUUUUUUUUUGUUUUUGUUUUUUUUUUUUUUUUUUUUUCUUUUUUUUUUUUUUUGUUUUUUUUUUUUUUUUUUUUUUUUUUUGUUUUGUUUUUUUUUUUUUUUUUUUUUUUUUUUUUUUCUUUUUUUUUCUUUUUUUUUUUUUUUUUUUUUUUUUUUUUUUUCUUUUUUCUUUUUUUUUUUUUUUUUUUUUUUUAUUUCUUUUGGUUUUUUUUCCCUUUUUUUUUUUUUUUUUUCUUUUUUUUUUUUUUACUUUUUUCCAUGCGGAAUCUCCCAUCAUCGACCGGAGAUGAAGAAGAAACUGACUUCCACCCCUUGACGGGGCUGGGGUAUCCUCCGAGCAGAAACUUCUGUUCCUCGCCUUUGAAAUACACCAGCCUUGGUCCGGUUUAGGGUGCAAUUGAGGCUAAAAAGGUUCUAAACUCGGACAGGGGAUAGAGAAUAUUUGUAGACCCGCCACAACGCCAUAAGAGAAGGUAAUGCUUCUCCACGCGUGGGGCACGAGCUGGGCCGGGCAGAUGUUGUAGAAUUGAAGAAUUAGCCUGAUGGUGUGUGAAGAGGAAAACGAAGGCCAGCGGGGGAACGCGGCCUCGUAAACGCCACCCCGCACGGACGGGUAGAGGUGAUGGUCUCCCCCUCGUCGGGAAAGCCUUGCCCGACCCCCGGGAUGAAAAGAAUAGGUUUCCCUAAGAGCGUUCAGCGCCUCUAAGGGUCAUGAUAUUCGUUUUAUUUCCCUCUACUGAGGGGUGAAUGGCGAUCACAGAGUUCUCCUCGGGUGAAACCCUCCCACGGGGCGAGGAAGGAGAUGAUUUACCUCGUCAGCCAUGGGGGGAGCCUUAUCCCCCCCCCCCCCCCCCCCCACCCCCCCCCCCCCCCCCCCCCAUAAAUGGUCGGAGGACCCACGAAGGUAACGAAUCUAGGUCACCGAUCUAAUACGUCAGAAUUACGGGGACAUAAACUUACGAGAACGAGAGGGGAAGAUACUUAUGAAAGAGAAGACUCUGGGCGAUCACAAUAGGCGAGGAGGAGUUAAAUGCGAGACGAUAGUUUGACAACAAUGCCAGAAAAGUACUAGUGAGAGGGAGUAUGAUAAAUAUAGAAAAAAUAACAUUUAUAGUCGAUCCUCCUAUUUUAGAAAUUUAUAUUUUAGUUGUUAAAAUUAAUUAUAUGGUGCACAAAGAGGUGCGAAAGGGUUUUGCAGGUAAAAGAGCAUUUAAGAAGAAAAAGAAGUCAAACCGCCUACUUCCGGACCGGUCCAGGUAAAUUCAGACCGGUUCACGAAAAAGAUAGAAGCCGAAACCGCCUUAGUCCCGACCGGUCCAGAAUUCCGACGUCGGACUGUACAUCAGUUGGCCGAAUGACAAAAGGAUUACUGAGAAGGAACCAGGCCAUUCAUUCCCCAAGGAAACAACUGACAACUUUCCACAAAAUCAAGCUUGUCAUAAUGGAAGAUAUUUCAAGGGAGGCCCACAAAUGUUGACCUCAUGUCCUCCCAUUUUCCUCUCUCUCGGAUCACUCUCCGUCUCUCUCCGACGUAUAAUAUUAUAUAUAUACAUAUAUAGAAAUAUCUAGAUAUUAUAUGUAUUUAUAUAUGUAUAUAUAUUUAUGUUUUUCUAUAAAUAGGAGGGGAGGAGAUCUAAUUGAGAGGGUAGAUUUCUUUAGUCUAAGAUUUAUUUUAGGAGGCUCUCUCUCUCUCUAGUUUUUUAAUUUAAGUUUGAAAUUAGAUUAGUCUAGUUUAAAGUUCAAACAAUUGUACUUUAAUUUGUCAAUCAAUAUAUUUAUGUUAGUUCAAUUACUUUAAAUUUCAAUGUCCGCCUGGAUGCGUGGGUAGCGCUACUUAUGCUUUAUUUACUAAUUGUCAGUAAUUCAAUUUACAAACGUUACAAAAUUAAUCAAAUAUGAUAGGACUAAAUAGCAUUGGCUUGAUUUAAAUACAAGAUUUAAUUUAAUCUUAGAGAAACUAGUUCUUUCUUCUCUUGCACAAACUUAAAAGAUUGUUUUAAAUUGAUCAAUCUAAUACAAAGCUCAAAACUUUGGGGGGGGGGGGGGGGGGGGGGGGGGGUUGUGGGGGGGGGGGGAAUUGUAUAAAUCUAAGAUAUGUUAUUACCAGGAAUCCUUGUGUAAACUAAGAUUUAGAUCAAUUGCAUUCAGGAUUGAAACUGAAUUAAAAUUAUUGUCAAUUUUCAAAAAAUAUUUUUAGAUACAAAAUAAUUUCAUUGACAAAAACUUUUCCAAUCAAUUUCAUUUACCUUGAAAAAUUGAUGAGUACAAAAGAGGCGGAAGACACUAGAAAAUAUAAUGAAGAAUAAAAUCAAGUAUUUAGAUCAUGCAUUCGUUACAUUUAUAGCUUACUUUUCAUUUCACAAAUCUUCUAAAAAUCACAAAAAUCAAUUUUACCAUGUAUUUCAUUACUUACAAAACAAACUACUCAAAAUCUUGCAAACCAGCUCUCGGUGGAUAAGAUCUCGGACUUCCGAGUAUUAUGCUGCACUGGUAGGUUCCUACGCUUGGGAACUGAAUUAAGAUAGAAAAAACAUACACCGAAAAGUGGCAAGCAUUUUUGGCGCCGUUGCGCCCUCUGUGGAACGAUCGGACUUCCGAGUAUUAUGCUGCACUGGUAGGUCCUACGCUUGGGAACUGAAUUAAGAUAGAUAAAAAUACACCGAAAAGUGGCAAGCUUUUGGCGCCGUUGCCGGGGAGCUAAAACGCAAGUUUGAGUUAUUGUGAUUUCAUCACAAGUGUUGUAAGAUUUAAUUUUUGUUCUUUUAUUGAAAAAAAAAAAUUUAAAAUGAUGCCUUGAUUUUAAUUUUGAAGUACCACAGUCUAAUCAAAUUGGAUAGCCAUCAUGUGUCUACAUAUUCACCUCCACCUUCUUGGUUGAGGAAUUGACUAUACACUUUCUUUGAAUCAUAUCCUACAUGACUUCAAUAGAGGAACUGUCUUAUGGACAACAAAUUUUGCAAAUAUUCACCAGUCACGAGGUCAGUAUCCUUAAUUCCAAAUGUGUAUCAGCCUCCCAAAUCAAAAGUCUUGAGACACUUUGCAGUCUUUCCUUCAAACCCAACGAACAUGUGGCCCCAGUCCAAACCAUGAGGAAGGGUGUGACAAUUGAGCCAUGUCCUUAUGCUCCAGUCCUAGCCACUUUUGUGAAAUGAAUAUCCACAAGCUCCGUGAGUUUCCAGGUUUGUGCAAAACAUGUCAAUACUACCCAAGGAUGCUUGAAUUCUAGUAGUGGAACAAUUUAUACUCGUACACUCAGACAAUGAGUGGGAAAUUCACCAAAGUCCUCUUGGAACAAGAACCUUGGGAAGACGACUCUAACACUUUGGUCCACCGUCCCAGUUUACUGCUCCUUCUGAAACCUUGCCAACAUGGACUAUCUCCGUUACUUCUAGAAAAAUCCAGAUUUAGAGAUAGUAGUUGAAAACUUUACAAGAUUAUGAGGCUAGAUUCAAACAUUGCGUCCAAUUGUCAAUCAAUUGCCAGAACUAAAAAUCCAAGAGCUAAACUAGUCAAUCGGUUUAAUGGACACGAGAGCAAGAGUCAUGGAAUUCAAGCGCAACAAGAAACCAAUGGAAGGUAGAGACCUUAAGUGAAAGGCAAACGGUGAAUUGUGGGAAACAGAGAGCGAACUCAAUAGUUGAAAUUGAACAUAUCAGUGGGGAGGACACGAAAACCUGACACAGAACUGAUCGCCA
rnacentral:lncRNA from 1 species